UACGGAGGGUGCAAGCGUUAUCCGGAUUUACUGGGUUUAAAGGGUGCGUAGGUGGGUAGGUAAGUCAGUGGUGAAAUCUUCGAGCUUAACUCGGAAACUGCCAUUGAUACUAUUUAUCUUGAAUACUCUGGAGGUAAGCGGAAUAUGUCAUGUAGCGGUGAAAUGCUUAGAUAUGACAUAGAACACCAAUUGCGAAGGCAGCUUACUACAUAGUUAUUGACACUGAGGCACGAAAAGCGUGGGGAUCAAACAGG
rnacentral:rRNA from 1 species